rnacentral:piRNA from 1 species
UUGCCACAAAGAAUCUUAGCACACUUGAGU